UAUUUUAUUAUAUGACUUAAUUUGUUCUAAUUGUGAAAGAUUCAGAAAGGCAUUCAUUCGUGUAAACAGAAUACUAAGAUUCCCUCUCUGAAUAUGGAGACCAGAUUACUCAUUUGCUGUGCAAUUCCCAUAGUUCUGUGACCCAUAUCUCAGUGGAUAAUGAUUCACAUAGCAACCCUAUCUGCAAGAUGAGAAAUAUGAGGCACAUCCAGGUUAAGAAACUUAACUAAGUCACACAGAAAAUGGCAGAAUUGGGAAAUCAGCACAGGCAGCCAGAUUCCACAAAUAUUACCUCUCAAUAUGAAAACCCACUUCCAACAGCACUUUUGGCCUCCACAACUUGGAUCUGUAUUGUAACCACCAUUAGACCCUCCUCAGACAUGACAACUGGACUUCUCAGCUGCAUAGAGACCUUUGUAUCAUCUUCAAACUUCUUGUUCCUAUGGUGGUAAGUCCAAGUCCUGAUCUAAUGCUCUGGACAAAUGUCUGUUGAAGCAUGAUGAGGAACAAUUUUGUUUCUUACAAUUUUGAGUACAUACUGGAACUAAGUUAGACAACCUCCC